rnacentral:tmRNA from 1 species
GGGGCUGAUCAGCUUCGACGAAAGAACCUUCACACACUACUUGGCACGUCGCAGGCAUGCGUUAAAUCCAUCAACAACAAGUCUCAACAGCCUUGUUUCGCGAGUAAAGAGCGCUUUUAGCGUUCCGACCCUCGCACCAGCUUACGCCUAACCACGUAACGCCAUCGGUACUCGACGCCAGAUAGGGAUUCUACCGGUGUCAACUUUUCUGGCCGCUCGUUUAGUGGUGCCUAACGCUAAACGCUAAGAUACUUGGCUGCCGUGAUGGUUGUUUGGUCCGUUUUAAGACCAUCACCCAAGCUUUUAAAGCGGUCUAAACGUGUAGAGGAGUAGUGUUUGAGCUUUCGGACCGGGGUGCGAUUCCCCGCAGCUCCACCA